rnacentral:rRNA from 1 species
UACGGGGGGUGCGAGCGUUGUCCGGAAUCACUGGGCGUGAAGGGCGCGUAGGCGGCCUGAUAAGUAGGGGGUGAAAUCCUGCGGCUUAACCGCAGGGCUGCCUUCUAAACUGUCAGGCUUGAGCACAGUAGAGGCAGGUGGAAUUCCCGGUGUAGCGGUGGAAUGCGUAGAGAUCGGGAAGAACAUCAGUGGCGAAGGCGGCCUGCUGGGCUGUUGCUGACGCUGAGGCGCGACAGCGUGGGGAGCAAACAGG